rnacentral:rRNA from 1 species
UACGGGGGGAGCAAGCGUUGUUCGGAUUUACUGGGCGUAAAGGGCGCGUAGGCGGUCGUGACAAGUCACUUGUGAAAUCUCCGGGCUUAACUCGGAAAGGUCAAGUGAUACUGUCGGACUAGAGUGCAGAAGGGGCAACUGGAAUUCUCGGUGUAGCGGUGAAAUGCGUAGAUAAUCGAGAGGAACACCGGUGGCGAAGGCGGGUCUCUGGGCAACAACUGACGCUGAGGAGCGAAAGCGUGGGGAGCGAACAG